AUUGACACCAGAAUGAGUGUUUGGUUGAUCAUGUUGUGUUUGGUUGACUUGACCAGGUGCUGUUAGUUAGGUGUUGCUAUCUACAGUACAGAGAACACCUCAAAGCUAAAUAUUUUCCAGUGACGUCACGUUGGUGUGAAACAUGUUAACCUCGAUGCUAGACCCUCCUCUUCCUGUCACAACAUGAGUUUCAGAGAGAAGGUGAAAACAAGCUGAAAACUUUCCGCUCCAUCGAACCAAUCGCUGCUCGUAUGUCCUUUCAUGGUAAAGUACAUCUAGUCAUGAACACGGAAAUACACAGCAAAGACCUUGUUACUCAAAGACCCAGCUACUCUCUGACAGUCACCAUCAGACCAUCAGACCACCAGAUGGACAGGCUGUUUGUUUCUCUCAUCACUCUCCUGUGCUGUGGGCUGUGUUGGAUGUUGCUGUUCAGUCUGUGUCCUGUGUCUGCUCUCCUCUCCUCUCUCCUCUCCUCCACCUGUGUCUACUCCUUCUGCAGAACAACAGGUAAACUCACUUCAUUAUUAACAGCAGUAUGUGCUCUUUCACUCUUUAUAGCAUGAUCUCACUCAUUCAGUUUGUAUUUUUGUAUUAAAGUAAAGACAUUUCUUAACAUAACCUUUUAGUUUUUUUUUUUACAUGUAACUGAUUUGGCAAAACUUCACAG
rnacentral:lncRNA from 1 species